UAAGUGUCUUUGGAGUUCUUUUCCGGUUU
rnacentral:piRNA from 1 species